AAUCAUGACUGUGUCGUUUCAUACAGCCUGGAUGGAAGAGCUUACUUAGUACAUACUACAAUUUGACUUGAACUGCUCUUGGCUGCAUAACAACGCCUAUUUCCUCCACAUCAAGUCGUCGUCUAAGGCUUUGAAUAAUUAUUUUGAAGGGCAAACUUGCUGAAUGUUGGGUCGUUUGCUGCCUUUGCCUUUCUAUAAACAAAUUCAACCAAAUCUGCAAAAUCAACUCCUCUCUUUUCUUCCGAAGAUUCUCCCUCAGAAGAACCUUCCUUCCUUCGUCAGUUUUGAUUAGCAUCAGGAUUUGGGAAAUGCAUGUUGUUUAAUGGUACUACGUGGAACUAUACCAAUAGCAACUCUUAAA